GUUCGGAGCAAGGUGGCCGUGAUGGUUGUGAUGCCGGCACCGGACGAGCUGACGUCCGGCACGUUCGUAAGUACAAGUAGGAGCAGGUUCUACUCCGAGGAUUUGUCUUCAACAACAACGAAGAGCAACUUUGGAGCAGACCCUGAAAUUGUGAGAUGCACAUGAUCCCUAUGCGGCCAUGGUGGGUUCUUGUGGGCAUAAGCGGAGGCGGACAUGGGCCUUCUGCAAUUAGUACUGGUCCAUAUCACCUACGAGCUGCAGAAGGCCAUGCAUCGCUAUUUCCACAUGAGGUGCACGGAAGGUUUAGAAUUCUGAAAUUCAUAAACUAAAAAUUCAGGGUCAAACAUAUGGUGAUAGCUUCAUCGAUUUUCUUUGGCAAACAAAUGCAUAAAUCCUUGAAUUGUUCUUACAGUAAAUUGUGUGAAUACUUGCACUUGUUUUAUCGGAAUCAUGUCGAAGCCAGGGUGGGCAUCAGGUAAUUAAGCCUAGCACAUUCAGAAUUAAUAUUGAUUUUUAACGUACUCAUUGAGUUCACAUCAUUCAGAUCACAUCAUACUUGUUUCUAUUUUCAGGUGCGACGGCAAAUAAUGAGAAAGCACUAUAUCUUCUUUGCUUGAUUAUUCCUCAUUGUUCCCUUACCCCCCAAAAAUUAGUUUUCUAGCCAUUCUUUGGGCCAUACUUUUAUUUGUUCUGAAAAGGUUAUGAAAAAAUAGGCAUCAUGAUACUCAGAAUGAUACCGGAUUCACUAUAAUUAAAUUUGAUUCUAUUUUAAAUGGCAAGGUUGGUGUGACACCUGAAGGUGUGGAGGAACCUUGCAGUCUUAUCGACGAGGGGAUGCAAGACAAGAUCCGGAGCAUAAAUAUCUUAUAUAAUGCAAGUUCAGAUUACACGUCAGCUUUGUACGUGGAGUCAUAUCCAUUGCUAAUAAGGUCAUUUUUUCGCAUGGAAGUGAAUGUACUAUUAGAGUCAAACCUACCUCGAGAAGGAGCAUCGACUUAAGAUAUGAUCAGUCAUUUCAUCUUCCUGUUCCUGCAAGCAUAAAGAACAGGUUGCACAUUGGUCCUGCAUGACCUGGCCUUCCUAACUCUCAUGUAAGACGUCCAAAUUUUGUGUUGGAGAGCCAACCAAAUGAAAAUUUUGCAAUUCAUCGCCCCCAGCACUUCCAGAUAGCAUCAACACCCCUGAAAGUGACAGUCCUGGAGCAGAGCAUUUUGAAGGUGCACAAGACAGAGUAAACUCCGGCUGCAUUUGUCGCCCACCCCGGGCUGAAUCUGAACUUCCUGGAUUGCAUCUACAGUUAAACAUACUGGACUAGAUCUUGCAUUGAUAGACAUACUCAAACGUAAGGGCAAAGCACACUUUUUUUUUUACUUCUGUUACAACUACAUAUCUCUAGAUGUGUUGCUAACCAUUUAAAUUUAUUUCUCCUCCUGCAGUCCACGAAAAAGCCAGAACUUAUAAUUUUGUUUAUUUGAUGGGCUCUCUGUAUAUAUACUAUCUCUAUAUACUAUCUCACCACAAGAGAUCUUUUAUUUUUUAAAUAAAGAUAUACAUAGCACUUUCCGUGAAGCUGCAAUUUGCUUAGCCCUUUUCAUGAGGUAAUUAUUAUUACUUUGACUUGAAAUAGUAGUAUAAGAGGGAUUCCAGGAGGCCAGCAAGGUUAAGCCUUUAUGUAAGUAAGAUAGCUAGCGAUGAUCCGAAUACAUGAUGAUAGCAUUAGGUCUAAGGGUUUACUUGCCAGACACAUGGGAUGUCUGCUUUAGGUCUAAGGGUUUACUUGCCAGAGACAUGGGAU